CCUACGGGCGGCAGCAGUGGGGAAUAUUGGGCAAUGGGCGCAAGCCUGACCCAGCAACGCCGCGUGAAGGAAGAAGGCUUUCGGGUUGUAAACUUCUUUUCUCAGGGACGAAGCACGUGACGGUACCUGAGGAAUAAGCCACGGCUAACUACGUGCCCGCAGCCGCGGUAAUACGGAGGGUGCGAGCGGUAAUCGGAAUUACUGGGCGUAAAGCGCUCGUGGGGGGUAGGUCAAGUCAAGGGGGAAAUCCCCGGGCUCAACGUGGGAACUGCCUUUGAAACUGGCAAACUGGAGUGUGUGAGAGGAUAGUGGAAUUCCAGGUGUAGGAGUGAAAUCCGUAGAUAUCUGGAGGAACAUCAGUGGCGAAGGCGACUAUCUGGCACAUAACUGACGCUGAGGAGCGAAAGCGUGGGUAGCAAACAGGAUUAGAUACCCGAGUAGUC
rnacentral:rRNA from 1 species